rnacentral:rRNA from 1 species
AGUCUGGCCUGCCCAUUGGGAACUAAAAGGCCGCGGUAUUUUGACCGUGCGAAGGUAGCAUAAUCAUUAGUCUUUUAAUUGAAGGCUUGUAUGAAGGGUUAGACGAGAAAUUAGCUGUCUUUAUUAGAAAAAUGGAAUUUAACUUUUAAGUGAGAGGGCUUAAAUGUUCUAAAGGGACGAUAAGACCCUAUAAAGUUUGAUAUUUAAUUUUUUAAAAAAUAAGAUAAAUAGAUAAAGUUAAUUAGAAAAAAGAUGUUUUGUUGGGGCGACAAGAAUAUAAUUUAUAUAACUGUUUUUAUAUUAAUACAAUAAUGAUUGAAUUAGUGAACCUUUAUAAAGGUAAUAGAGUAAAUUACUUUAGGGAUAACAGCGUAAUUUUUUUUGAGAGUUCUUAUCGACAAAAAAGUUUGCGACCUCGAUGUUGAAUUAAAGGUUCUUUGUAACGUAGAAGUUACAUGAGAAGGUCUGUUCGACCUUUAAAUCUUUACAU